rnacentral:lncRNA from 1 species
UUCUUCUCAGCUUGUCCUCAGGAUUUGGCAAAGGAAAAGAAACAUUAAAUAUUAAUAUGCUGUCUGACGACUGCCCCUACUGAAGAAAACGGUUGUUCCAAACCACCCAUGAAACACAGGAACGGUUCUAUUAAAGAAGGAUGGUUACUUUAGUUUGGGCUAGAAGAGAAUUAGUCUAAGAAUUCCAUGGUUAUGGAUUCUGAUCAAGAGAUACAGUGAAAAUUUUAGUUUCAGAUAAUUAUUAAGAAGAAGAUUUUCUUUAGGUGCUCUACAAAGAUAGCACGUACACAGUAAUCAUGAUUUAAUUGUGGGUUAGUACCAUUGGACAAUGUCUAACAUUUCCACUUGAGAAUUACACAACUACCACCAUCCACAUCUAAACAAAGGGGCGAAGAGGUAACUCUUCCACCUGGAUUCUUGGGAUGUUGUGUAUCAAAAGGAGAUAGAUGAAUGGGAAUGUUGGCAUGGCUGUAACGCUGCAAUACAUAGGAAACGACGCCAGGGGGCCUCUUCCAUCUGUCUGGAAGAGGAAAGCCCGAGAUCACCCUUGUGCUGUGGGCUUCUUAGAUGCUCCUAGAAAGCUGCCAAAGGGAGUUCCUGUUGGGGCUCAGUGGAAAUGAGUCUGACUACUAUCCAUGAGGACAUGGGUUUGAUCCCAUUGGCUGUGGCUAGCGGGGCUGGCAGCUCUCUCUCUGAUUCAACCUCUAACCUGGGAACAUCCACAUUCUGCAGGUGUGGCCCUAAAACAAAAAAAGCUGCAAAGAACCAACGUGCCCAAAGUGUUCCACACACUUCCAAAGCAGAAGAGAAGAGAAUGAAUCUCUCCAUAUUGUUAAUUAGGAUCUCAAAAGAGUCUCGGUUUUGCAUUGCUACUCUGUGAUAUAUAUCAAACAUCAUUUGUCAUGAAAAUACAUGAAACUAGAUUUGAUCUGAAUAAAAGGGGAAAAGAGGUUUUGGGGUUGGGGGGUUGGUUCUCUUUUGUUUUUAUUUUUGUUUUUGUUUUGGCCACACCAGCAACAUGUGUAAAUUCCUGGGCCAGGGAUAAAACCGCUGCCACAGCAGUGACCUAUGGCACUGCAGUGACAGUGCCAGCUCCUUAACCCACUGCACCAUAAGAGCAUUCCAAAGAAGUAUUUCAUAUCAAGGUAAAUUUCUUUUAUUACCAGAGUAAUAUAACAUGGCUCCCUCAAAAUGCAAAUUUGGUAUAUGUUCAUCAUCAAAGGAAGAAGCAAAGAAUGUUCAGUAUUUAAAUGUGAAGGAAGGCCUAUGACAAUCACACUGUAAGCCACUGGCUAAUGAGUGUCAUUUUGCAGUAUCUUUAUAUUUUCUCCAGGUAACUAUUCCUUCUUUCUUUGAAAUAAGGUAAAAAGGAUCCUAAAAGGUAGAGUAAAUCUCAAGAAAUAUCACUGGGAAAACUUGUAGAGUUGAACCUUACAUGCUAUAGAAAUGGAAGCUUCUUCUCAAAGUCAUGGUGCCUGGAAUUCAGAAAUAAAUCCUGUAAUUAAGUGAGGAACUGGGGUUCUACUACUGCUUCAUGUUAAUUGAAUAUCUGCACUACAUGAGUUCAAUCUUCCUAAAUGGUGUGUUACUAUCUAAAUAUGCAUGUUAUAACCAGUUUUUAAAUUUUUCAAUAACUAUACCCCUUACUUGCUUCAAACCAUGUUACAAACACAAUUCUUCUUUGAGAGAGAGGAAUAUGAUUUUACAAGCCAGCAGCUCCUCCUCAUUAAAAAAAAUUAAGAGGCUCCAGGACCUGGGGAGAGGACAGUAGCCCGCAGGCAGAGCCCCAGCCCCAAGCCAUGGCGCCCAAGCUGCCGUCCCCAACCCUAAAACCCCUCUUUUGGUCUCAACUCAGUGAUCUGCCACCUAGCUGACUGCAGCUUGGGGAAACUGAAGUACAGCAGAGGCCACCAAGUGAUCCCCGGAACUCGCCGUGCCCCCUGCCCCACCCAAACCCAGACUCCUCCUUUCCCAUCCCUGGUUCUCUGCACCUGAACUUCUGGGGAGCCUGCGCCGCCAAACGUUCUGCCGACUUGCAGCGAACUCCGGCCCUGGCCACCCACCAGGCCCGGGGGGAGGAGAGGUAGGUAGGAAGGGAAGGGGAGGGAACCGGCCUCCAGCGGGGUCGGGGGAGGGCCAUGGCCCAACACCUACCGGCUCUCAGAGUCGUCCCAGCCGCUGCCUCCCGGUGGGGCGGAGAAGUGAGCUCCUCUCUGGGCGCAGCCUCCGCUGCGCGCUCUGCUCCAACCGCACCGUUCGCGGUGCCCCUGGACGGGGCCAGAGAUAUGCCAUCAAGGCCGGCCGGAGGUGGGGGGGGUGGUGCGGGCCUGCAGCACCUGCCCCUCCUCCCCCUCGCAAGGCCCAAAUUAAAAAACAGCAGAAAGCACCUCAUCACCGCAGGGAAGCCUGGCGCGGCUGGAGGAGGGCACAGCGUGAGGCUCCCAGACUCAGCAGGCAGCCGGCGCGGGCUGGGCACGGCUGGGAAGCGGGGCCUGGCUUAGGGGAACAAGGACCUGCCGCAGGUUCUUGCUGGGCUCCAGCUCCGGAUCCUGUGCUCGCUAACGUCACCGCUGCGGCCGCCGCGGCCGCCGCCGCCGGCUCUACCGGCUCGGCCGCCGCGGCCGCCUCUAACGGCUCCACCGCCAUGGCCCCCGCCUCUACCGGCUCAGCCGCUGCCGCUACCGCUAACGGCUCAGACACAGCCGCCGCCUCUAACGGCUCGGCCGCCGCGCCUCCCUCUGCCGCCACCGCCCUGUGCGCCUCUGCCGGCGCGCCUCUGCCACCGCCGCGCCCCCCUCUGCCGCCGCAGCCGCUCCCGCCGCUUCUGCUGCCGCGCCAGCAGGGGCAGGAGCUCUGAAUGGCUGCCAGGAGGGCUGCUGGCAAAACCUGGACCCAGUUCCCCUCCUGCCUCUCGCCUCCCGCCCCCCUCCUCCCUCCGCCUCCCUCCCAAUGCCGCCCUGGCCACUUGGAGGCGCAGGCUCUGAGGCUGGAGCUGCAGCCACUGUGCCUCCAGCUCUCCGUACUCUGAGCUGGUCUGCCCUGGCUCAGCUCCCCUGCGUGCCCUAUCUUCCUUUUUUCUGCAACAUCACAAAAAUAAAUAAAUAAGAGGGAAAAAAAUUAAAAACUGUUUUCCAUAAAUGUUCUACAGAUGAGAAUUCAGUUCAUAUAAUUGAACUU